UACGUAGGGGGCAAGCGUUGUCCGGAAUCAUUGGGCGUAAAGCGCGUGUAGGCGGCUAGGUAAGUCUGCUCUGAAAGCCCGGGGCUCAACCCCGGGAGGCGGGUGGAUACUGUCUAGCUCGAGUCCGGAAGAGGAGUGUGGAAUUCCUGGUGUAGCGGUGAAAUGCGCAGAUAUCAGGAGGAACACCAAUGGCGAAGGCAGCACUCUGGGACGUGACUGACACUGAGGAGCGAAAGCGUGGGGAGCGAACAGG
rnacentral:rRNA from 1 species